rnacentral:RNase_P_RNA from 1 species
AUAGGAUGUCAGGCAGUCGCCUUUCUGCGAAAGCAGGAGGGAGGAAAGUCCGAACACCAAAGGGCACAGCGCCUUGCGAUUACUCGGUGGGAACACCGGUGCUAAGCGAGGGUUCUGCAGGCAACAUCCUGCAGAAACGGAAAGUAUCACAGAAAACAUACAUCCCGUCUCGCGCAAGUGAGACGAGAAACAGGUGAAAAGGUGGUGUAAGAGACCACCGCAUUGUCAGUAAUGGCAAUGGUCCCGAAAGGGAUUUGUCAGUAGUGGAGACAAUCCACUUUGACAGACAAGAGAAACCCCGCUGGGUGCAAGACCAUGUAAAUCCUGUGCUGAGCCGUUGUAAACGGUUCGGGAAGAAUUGCCCGUUCAACUUCUUGAAAAAGAACACAGGAAGGGUAGGUCGCACAGAGAAAUGACUGCCUCUUCGCACUGUUGCGAAAAGACAGAAUUCGGCUUACCGACAUUCUAUGGCA